UACGUAGGGGGCAAGCGUUGUCCGGAUUUAUUGGGCGUAAAGAGCUCGUAGGCGGCUCAGUAAGUCAGGUGUGAAAACUCCAGGCUCAACCUGGAGACGCCACCUGAUACUGCUGUGGCUAGAGUCCGGUAGGGGGAGCAUGGAAUUCCUGGUGUAGCGGUGAAAUGCGCAGAUAUCAGGAGGAACACCAGUGGCGAAGGCGGUACUCUGGGCCGGAACUGACGCUGAGGAGCGAAAGCGUGGGGAGCAAACAGG
rnacentral:rRNA from 1 species